rnacentral:tRNA from 1 species
GCUGGGAUAGCUCAGUUGGUAGAGCAUGACUUAGGGUCGUGGGUUUGAGCCCCAUGUUGGGCA